UACAGAGGUCUCAAGCGUUGUUCGGAUUCAUUGGGCGUAAAGGGUGCGUAGGUGGCGGGGUAAGUCAGGUGUGAAAUUUCGGAGCUUAACUCCGAAACUGCAUUUGAUACUGCCUUGCUUGAGGACUGGAGAGGAGACUGGAAUUCACGGUGUAGCAGUGAAAUGCGUAGAUAUCGUGAGGAAGACCUGUGGCGAAGGCGGGUCUCUGGACAGUUCCUGACACUGAGGCACGAAGGCCAGGGGAGCAAACGGG
rnacentral:rRNA from 1 species